UUAAAGUUGUUGCAGUUAAAAAGCUCGUAGUUGAACCUUGGGUCUGGCUGGCCGGUCCGCCUCACCGCGAGUACUGGUCCGGCUGGACCUUUCCUUCUGGGGAACCUCAUGGCCUUCACUGGCUGUGGGGGGAACCAGGACUUUUACUGUGAAAAAAUUAGAGUGUUCAAAGCAGGCCUUUGCUCGAAUACAUUAGCAUGGAAUAAUA
rnacentral:rRNA from 1 species